rnacentral:rRNA from 1 species
GGUGAAGGAACUAGGCAAAAUGGUGCCGUAACUUCGGGAGAAGGCACGCUGACACGUAGGUGAAGUGAUUUACUCAUGGAGCUGAAGUCAGUCGAAGAUACCAGCUGGCUGCAACUGUUUAUUAAAAACACAGCACUGUGCAAACACGAAAGUGGACGUAUACGGUGUGACGCCUGCCCGGUGCCGGAAGGUUAAUUGAUGGGGUCAGCGCAAGCGAAGCUCCUGAUCGAAGCCCCGGUAAACGGCGGCCGUAACUAUAACGGUCCUAAGGUAGCGAAAUUCCUUGUCGGGUAAGUUCCGACCUGCACGAAUGGCGUAAUGAUGGCCAGGCUGUCUCCACCCGAGACUCAGUGAAAUUGAACUCGCUGUGAAGAUGCAGUGUACCCGCGGCAAGACGGAAAGACCCCGUGAACCUUUACUAUAGCUUGACACUGAACAUUGAGCCUUGAUGUGUAGGAUAGGUGGGAGGCUUUGAAGUGUGGACGCCAGUCUGCAUGGAGCCGACCUUGAAAUACCACCCUUUAAUGUUUGAUGUUCUAACGUGGACCCGUGAUCCGGGUUGCGGACAGUGUCUGGUGGGUAGUUUGACUGGGGCGGUCUCCUCCUAAAGAGUAACGGAGGAGCACGAAGGUUGGCUAAUCCUGGUCGGACAUCAGGAGGUUAGUGCAAUGGCAUAAGCCAGCUUGACUGCGAGCGUGACGGCGCGAGCAGGUGCGAAAGCAGGUCAUAGUGAUCCGGUGGUUCUGAAUGGAAGGGCCAUCGCUCAACGGAUAAAAGGUACUCCGGGGAUAACAGGCUGAUACCGCCCAAGAGUUCAUAUCGACGGCGGUGUUUGGCACCUCGAUGUCGGCUCAUCACAUCCUGGGGCUGAAGUAGGUCCCAAGGGUAUGGCUGUUCGCCAUUUAAAGUGGUACGCGAGCUGGGUUUAGAACGUCGUGAGACAGUUCGGUCCCUAUCUGCCGUGGGCGCUGGAGAACUGAGGGGGGCUGCUCCUAGUACGAGAGGACCGGAGUGGACGCAUCACUGGUGUUCGGGUUGUCAUGCCAAUGGCACUGCCCGGUAGCUAAAUGCGGAAGAGAUAAGUGCUGAAAGCAUCUAAGCACGAAACUUGCCCCGAGAUGAGUUCUCCCUGAGACUUUAGGUCUCCUGAAGGAACGUUGAAGACGACGACGUUGAUAGGCCGGGUGUGUAAGCGCAGCGAUGCGUUGAGCUAACCGGUACUAAUGAACCGUGAGGCUUAACCUUACA